AGAUGUGAGGGAGAUCUGGCGGCAACCUUUGUCACUCAGUUGAUCACCAUGACUGAUUCAACUGAUCUGGUGUCCCCUUCCUCUCUCAUUGUUCCAUGUGCCUCCCUCCUUGAGCUGAGCUCACUUAGGUGAAAGAAGAUGACCUUCCAGGGAGAAGAACCAUUCUUCAGGGCUAUUAGAGUAGCUGCACUGCCCUCUAGAACCUCCAAACUCUCAAGAAAUAUAUUUCCACAACUACACUGUGAAGCCCCAUGGCAAUAUUUUUCAAUAAGAAGACAGGCUCAUUCUACCUUUCUAGAACACAUUGGCUGAGUUGUA
rnacentral:snRNA from 1 species